GGGGGUGACCGGCUUUGACGGUUUGCUCUUUGAGAAUGUGCGGUGUGGUGCACGCUCGUUUACCACCUAAAUCUGUACGAGCAAAUCAUAAGUGCCAAGAAAACUCUUGCACGCGCAGUAUCUCCAUACUUCGGUAUGAAUGAUUUUGCGUUCGCUACCGUAGCGGUUUGAGCUUAACGCUCGCCUACACAGAAGCGCGUCUCGUUUUGUUUGCGUUCGCACGUCAUAACGAGGCGACAUCUUUUGCGAAAUCGGUGAUUCUCUUUCCAUUUGGAGAAAUCGCCUAAACCUUAAAAUGGAUAAGACAAGGAUGAUUUUGCUUUCAUUUACGCACCAUGUCUUAUAACAUAAACGUUAGCUACACACCGUAGAUGCAUCUCAAAGACCAGAUUCGGACGGGGGUUCAAUUCUCCCCACCUCCACA
rnacentral:tmRNA from 1 species